rnacentral:rRNA from 1 species
UACGUAGGGUGCAAGCGUUAAUCGGAAUUACUGGGCGUAAAGCGUGCGCAGGCGGUUUUGUAAGUCUGUCGUGAAAUCCCCGGGCUUAACCUGGGAAUUGCGAUGGAGACUGCAAGGCUGGAGUCUGGCAGAGGGGGGUAGAAUUCCACGUGUAGCAGUGAAAUGCGUAGAGAUGUGGAGGAACACCGAUGGCGAAGGCAAUCCCCUGGGCCUGCACUGACGCUCAUGCACGAAAGCGUGGGGAGCAAACAGG